ACGGGGGGGCAAGCGUUGUUCGGAAUUACUGGGCGUCAAGGGCUCGUAGGUGGCCCGCUAAGUUGGACGUGAAAUCCCUCGGCUUAACCGGGGAACUGCGUCCAAGACUGGCAGGCUUGAAUCCGGGAGAGGGACGUGGAAUUCCAGGUGUAGCGGUGAAAUGCGUAGAUAUCUGGAGGAACACCGGUGGCGAAGGCGGCGUCCUGGACCGGUAUUGACACUGAGGAGCGAAGGCCAGGGGAGCAAACGGGAUUAGAUACCCCGGUAGUCCUGGCCCUAAACGAUGAGUGCUUGGUGUGGCGGGUAUCGAUCCCUGCCGUGCCGGAGCUAACGCGUUAAGCACUCCGCCUGGGGAGUACGGUCGCAAGGCUG
rnacentral:rRNA from 1 species